UGGCAAUCUGCAGAAAUUUUGCAAGUCCUCGUAGCCCAGUACUACUGUACUGACAACUGUGCUGCUGCUGCCUGCUCUGCAUUCCGCGCGUUCCCGGCCAUGGCUAUCGCCUCGCCCUCCCCUCGCUUCCACCUCUCCCUCCACCUCCAAAACCCCAACCCAGCCCCCAACCGCAAGCCCCGCCCGACGCCGACCACCGAGACCAUUCGCCGUCGCCUCCUCCGCAAGGGCGUAUCCGCGACGCCCAAGAUCCUCCACGCCCUCCGCAAGAAGGAGGCCCACAAGUCGCUCCGCCGCGCCAGGAAGGACAUCUCCACCGCCAACGCGCCGCCCAAGGAGGAGGCGCUAGUGGCAGAAGAGGAGGCCAGCUUCCGCGCCGCCGCCGAGGAGUACCGCGCUCUGAUGGGGCGGCCCUGGGACGGCGCCCGCAGCGGUGCGGGCCCGCCGCGCGUCGCCUCCGGCCAGGAGGGGCUCGAUGGCCUGCGGAAGAUGCUCGAGGGAAGGAGGGGUGGCGGAUUCCAGUGGCUUCUCGACGACGACGUAGAAAAGGAGGAGGCGGAGGGAAAACAGAGGCGUGUCGGCUCCGGCUGGAUUACGGAAGUGGGGGACGAGGAGAGGAAGAUUGAGAUGCUGCUGACUAGGCUCACUGGAGUGGACCUAAGUUCGGGUGAUUGGAGGCUUACUAGAAUGAUGAAACAAGCUGACCUCAUAUAUAAUGAAGAUAAUCUACUGCAAAUUCUGAAAGGGCUUGAGGCACAAGGAAACUGGAGGCAGGCUAUUGCUGUAACUGAAUGGGUGUAUAAUGAGAACAGCUACAAGCAUCGAAGAAGCAGGUUUGUGUAUACAAAGUUACUCUCAAUCCUUGGGAAAGCAUCGAUGGCAACUGAAGCACUUCGAGUUUUCACCAUGAUGCGGGGAGAUGCUCAAAUAUAUCCUGAUAUGGCUGCAUACCAUAGUAUCGCCGUUACACUUGGUCGAGCUGGCCUUCUCAGUGAGCUAAUUAAGAUAAUAGAUAAUAUGAGACAGAAGCCUUCAAAAAGGGUAAUGGCGAUGCGACGCAAAGAUUGGGAUCCUUUGUUGGAGCCUGAUGUUCUCGUUUAUAACUCGGUUCUAAAUGCAUGCGUACUAUCACAGCAGUGGAAAGGGGUAUUUUGGGUGUUUCAGAAAAUGCGAUUUAGUGGAUUGACGCCUACAGGUGCAACAUUUGGUUUGGCAAUGGAGGUUAUGCUUAAAGCCAAGAAAUAUGAGUUUGUCCAGAAGUUCUUCGAAAAGAUGCAGAGAAAAGGGGUUCCUCCAAGAGCGAUAACUUAUAAAGUGCUAGUAAGAGCCUUCUGGGAACAAGGGAAAGUAAAUGACGCAGUUGAAGCAGUUCAAGACAUGGAACAAAGAGGAGUUGUUGGAGCUGCAAGUGUGUACUAUGAAUUAGCUUGCUGUCUUUGCAAUAAAGGAAGGUGGAAAGAUGCUAUGCUACAGCUUGAGAAGUUGGAACAACUUCGCCUCACUAAGCCACUGGAGUUUGCAUUUACUGGCAUGAUCUUAGCCUCUUAUGAUGGUGGAUAUAUCUCUGAGUGUAUCUCGAUAUUUGAUUCAAUGAAGGACUACUGUACUCCAAAUAUUGGGACCAUAAAUGUCAUGCUAAAAGUGUAUGGGCGUUGUGAUCUGUUUGGGAAGGCAAAAGACUUGUUUGAGACCACCACAUAUAGCUUUUCUAGUUUGCAGCCACAUAUCCAGGAUCAUUCAUCACUUAAAGCGGAUGCAUAUACAUACAGCUCUAUGCUUGAAGCAUCUGCAUCUGCCCAACAGUGGGAAUAUUUCGAAAAUGUUUAUAGGCAGAUGACUCUCACUCAUCACCAUCUAGAUCAAAGGAAAUAUUCAUGGUUGCUCAUCAAGGCAUCCAGAGCUGGAAAGCCCUAUUUGCUGGAGCAUGCGCUUGAUUCAAUACUUGAAAGAGGGGAAAUCCCUGAUGUGCAGCUGUUCACUGAAAAUAUUUGCCAGACUAUUGCUCAAAGUGACUACGGAAGGACACUGCAUCUCAUGAAUGUUAUGGCUGCGGCUUCAGUCAAUGUCACUGAACUGGAAUGGAGUGAUCUACUUCAGCAAAAUUUGCAUCGAUUCAAUGUGGAUGCGUUGAAAGACCUUAUAACGCACCUUAGUGCCGGUGAAACCAUCAAAACAGAUCCUGUGCAUGGUUUUGUAAGAGUGUUGCAGUCCCAGUGUGCGACAACCUUAGUGAAAGAGAAAUCUUCUGUGACUGAUUGUGGUGAUACUGAAGAACCUCAAGUAGAUAAAUGUUCAAAUAGCAAUCUGAUGGACUCAUCGGGCACGAAUAUAUUUCCUGAUGAGAAAGGUAGUAGUGAACUCGAUUGCAGUACUAAUAUCCCUGAAUUAGAUGCCAAAACUGGCUUGGGUGGGGACAUUGUAUUAUGCGAUUCACAUUCUGAAAACAAAGAAAAUGAACAACACAAUCUUGGGCAUUGGGGCAAGCAAGUAUCUGCAAUUGACAGAGUACUUGAUUCCAUGAACUCAUAUGGUAAUAGUAGUUCAUAUGAGAAGAUGCCAGCAGCAUCAGAAAUUCUUGAGUUAUGGGAACAGGAGGGUUUGAAUGACAUAUUUGUUCAGAAAAAAGAAACCAGAGCAACUAUGAGAGAAUAAUUGAAGCACUCGAGUAUUGUCUGAUGUUACCAGUGUAAUUCUGUGAAACUGGCCUGGUAAAUGAGCAAAUUAUGCAGUUCCAUAAGCUGGAGUCCCAUAAGCUUUCGUGGCUUAGGGUUUUUGUGAUCACAUCGGAGGAUUCUAUAGAAGAGUAGGAUUACUACUGUUCGGACGGUAGCGUUACUUAUUUGCACAGGUGUUGAUAAGGGCUGCCCCAGAGGUACCUCCAAACUAGUGAAAGAGCUUGGCAAUCUAAUGCUUGCAUUGAUGGCACUAGAUGAACCAAGAAGACCCACAUGUAGAAGCUCAAGUGGUCAUUUGGUCGUCAUGAUGUUGCUGGUCAGAUGGACUUUCAGCUUGCUUGUCGGAUCGGCAUUGGAUGCAAGGCAGUGCAAGCCUCUAGAAGGUUUAUCCCAAUGCCACUUGGAAGAAAUCCUGUGUUCAAAAGGAGAAACUUGCAGAAUAAGGUGAUCAAAUUGGAGAAAAUAAAAGAAGGCGUGAAUCACAUGAAAGGACUUUCAGCCAUUGACCCUCCAAAGCUCCAACUCAAUAUAAAAAGAGGACAUGAGGUUCUUCCAAAGGCCAAACUCUUGAGAGCUACAAGAGCGCAUACCCCCUCCACCGUCAUUUUCAUCCAGAAGCUGGAUCGAUCUGUGGCACCCGCAUUUUCGAACCCCACAGCAUCUUUUGAGUUCAUCAUCUUUCUUCUCGAGGUUACACCCUUAUAAUCCUAUGUGUAAGUCCUCAUAUAAAACAAUCUAAGACAUGAGAGCUUUACCCGCACAAAAAACUAGCCUAGAACUGAACCUGGAUAAAUUGUGCCCCCGUGGCAUCGGGUGAUCUAGUCGUCUGCAUGAUCAAACAGGUAAGUACCCAAUUAGGUACACUCGUGAGAUCUCCAAGGUUAUGAGACUCGACUCUACAUGAGAAUGGUAAAUUUUCGGUAGCUUCCAUGUACAAUGCACUUAUUCAUCCGGAUUUACCAAUCGAUACACCUAAUAACAAUAAACUUUGGAAGUUGAAAAUCCCUUUGCGAAUAAAGGUAUUUGGAUGUACCUCCGAAAAGACGUUAUUCUCACCAAAGAUAAUCUAGCUAAGCAGAAUUGGCAAGGGAGUAAACAAUAUGCUUUAUAAAGCACUUAUUUUUCCAUUGCAGGUUCGCUAGGUCUAUAUGGUCAGUCAUCCAGUUAGCUUCGAGCUUGUAUCAGCCACGUAGUGUUACCAAUAUCUUCGGGAAUUGGCUAAAUGGCAUUGAUCCUAGGUUCAAGAAGCAUAUUAGGGUUAUAUACCGGUGUACCAACACCCUCCGCUUAUGGUCGUCGCUCUAGCGUGUGGAGCACCGAGAUCUGUUUACGGAGGUCUGUUCACGGUUGGAAGCUACGGCAAGCGAUAUUUUUUCCUACAUGGAUGGCAGCAUAAUCUAAGGAUCGAAGCUCCUCCAGUUUAGGCGUCUUUACAAUUUCUCAAUAUGAUAUGUAAUCUCGCCUUUUAUUUUGAUAUCAAGACUAAACAACGGCUGUGCGCAUCUUAGAU